rnacentral:rRNA from 1 species
AUGAUUAACGGAGCUGGAUUCGUUCUUUAUUCUAGUGGUCACAGAGCAAUUUUGUACGCAAGAGUGAUUAAGUCAUUAUUUCUUGAAGAAAUUAUGAUGGCUACUAAAGGGUAUAACACAACUAGUGGUGUUAGCAUUCUUUUAGGCAAUGCACCCUAUUUCAAAAUCGUAAACCUUGGUCAGACCUCGAUCCACCAAUUGAGUGAUAUUCUAGGCAUCUCAAGUCAUCAAGUCAUCUUAGUUUUAAUCCAUUCUGACCUAAUUGUAUACAUUUGUGUUCAAAGACUUCUUGUGCACACAAACUGUACCACAGAAUUUUCUUGUCCCGUAAAUUUACAGGUCAAAUUCUACGUACUUCACAUGGACGGCUUUGGGUUCCCCUGGGGAAAACCAAGGACAAAGCAGCGUCGGUGGAAGCGUUAA